AGAACUGAGCCUUCCGUUUUCCCGCCUCUACCACCCGAAAACUGCCCGGCAAGGGUCUCUCCGCCUUUGUGAGCGCCGCUGUCCCGGGGACCGCGGAUUGGAAGCAGGAAGUCACUGGCCGCGGACAGAAUCUCUCUCUCCUUCCAUCUCAGAAUCGGAUCCAGAGCCUCUGCUGGCUUGAAUGUGAAGAGUUUUGUUUUCCACUCAGAAGAAUUCUUGAGAGUUUUAUAGCCACAAAAUGAUGCUGCUUAUGUUUUGAGGCUUUUGCUUUUGUUUUGUUUUUAACAUUUAGUAUGAGGUUGGCUGUCAGUUCUAGCCAAAUCAACCACACAUGAAAAAGAAAUAAAAGGCAUUCUUGAGAGUCUAAAAAGUGAUUCUACUAUACAUCAGCAUUCAGAAAAUGAGAUUGAUACAAGUCUAAUAUCAAGCACAUUAAGCUCAGAAAAAAGAAGUUUCAGAAAUGAAAAAUAAUGAAUGAGUAAAGAAAAGUAACCACUGUAAAUUCUCCUCUUGAAAUGAACAGCUUCCACCUUGCGUUCCUGCCACCACGAUCAGAGAUCAGUCAUACCUACCCCCAUCAUAAUGACUCAAACCCUCUGAAUCAGGAGUCACAAUAAAUAUUUCCUUCCUC
rnacentral:lncRNA from 1 species